rnacentral:rRNA from 1 species
AGCCUUCGGUUGCCCGAGUUGUAAUCUAGAGAAGUGUUUUCCGUGCCGGCCCAUGUACAAGUCCCUUGGAACAGGGCGUCAUAGAGGGUGAGAAUCCCGUCCUUGACAUGGACCCCCGGUGCUUUGUGAUACACUUUCAACGAGUCGAGUUGUUUGGGAAUGCAGCUCAAAAUGGGUGGUGAAUUCCAUCUAAAGCUAAAUAUUGGCGAGAGACCGAUAGCGAACAAGUACCGUGAGGGAAAGAUGAAAAGCACUUUGGAAAGAGAGUUAAACAGUACGUGAAAUUGUUGAAAGGGAAACGAUUGAAGUCAGUCAUGCUCUUGGGACUUACCUCCCUUGAGUGGGGUCAACAUCAGUUUUGAUCGAUGGAUAAAGGCACGGGGAAGGUAGCACUCUCGGGUGAACUUAUAGCCUCGCGUCAUAUACAUUGAUUGGGACUGAGGAACGCAGCAUGCCUAUGGCCGGGAUUCGUCCACGUACAUGCUUAGGAUGUUGACAUAAUGGCUUUAAACGACCCG